AUGUCGUUGGAGAGUUGCCGUUGUUGAAAUUGGGCGCACAUACUGCGUUCACAUCAGUGUUGUUUGAGCUGCAAGGUGGACGUUUCUCAGUUUUCAAGCGUCUCUGCUCGCAUUUCGCCACAAAGUGACAUGGAUAUCAAGUGGCUCGUCGCAGUAAUUUUCGUCUGCGUGACGUUGCCGCUAUUGGCAAGAGGUGCUCCGGACCGGUCAGGAUUGUCGUCAUGCGUUCGUCAAGCAGGGAGGGGGUUUUCAUCCAGAGACCGAAGGUGCGUCCAACGGCAGAUGCAGCUUGCCUACCAGAACGCCCCAAACGCAAGGUACGCCCACUGCAGAGCAAACUACAAUGCUGUCAUGACUUGCGGAGCUUCUGCAAGGCCACUGGCAGAGAACAUCAGCAACUGCCUCGAAAGCCGCAUGACUGAUCGGCAAAAGAGGACCUUUCGCCAAGCAGGACAAGUAGGACGAGGCGCCCGAAAUACUAGGGCUUGCGAUCGCUAUCAGAGACGGGGAGGAGGAAGAAGGGAGUAAAAGAAACGUCGAGAGCCAGCAAGCGACCGGCUUUCCAGCUUGGUGCUUUCGGCCUCAACGGCUCUCAGAGGUUUGCUGAUAGUCCAGAACGUCAGGGCGACAUUAAUUUGUGAUGCAAAACGCCUUUAACGAAGUAUUUUUGUCAGGAAUUAAAACGAUUGAUUUUC